CGAGCCCUUCCAUUUCACCACCUAGUCCAGCCCAUCCUCUCUCGCGGGCCGAAUAUCCCUCCCCUGCCGCCGGCGUCCGCCUGUCCCCUGCCCGGCGCAUGCUCCCUCGCAGCGGCGGAGGCCUCGGUCCUCCGGUUCGCGUUCGCCGGCGAGGAGGUCGCCGGCGCUGCACGCGGUUGCGCCGCGAACGGCGGGACCAGCCGGAGCCAAGCGCCGCACGCAGUCUGGCCCGCCGGCAGAGCAGAUUCGUUCGGUGAUGGCUGCGCCUGUUGCUGUCUCAGCGUCGACGAGGAUCCCCUGAGACGGCCACCAGUAGCCUCCUCACAAGGUAAAGGAAAAGAAGAAGCUGCAUUCUUUGUACCUUCUCACCAAUCGCAUCUUGAAUUAGUAUUGUGUCAGCAGAUGUACCGAACACUACCUGUCCACCUUUGAUUUCUGUAUCAAAGAAUGCCAUGUCUUGUCUCAAAACCGACUUGAGAUACAAAGAUCGAAAGCGAGCUGCCUGCCUCUCCCCAGUCACGGUCCAGCAUGAUAUCUCUGUAGAAGCAUCGAUGGGCGAUCUGAUAUUGAGUAUGCGCCUGUGGUAUUCCUAGAUUCAUACAGAAGCAAAAGGGUACCUUGUCAACUCGGGGAAGGAUGGUGCCCCGGGUGGCACCUCCAAAGGCAUCUACCAUCCGCCCGAAGAUGAUCGACAUGACCACCUGUGACAUGCCGCUCGCAAGCGCGGCGACUGUGCCAACCAGCAUCAGCACCACAUCAGUGGCGUCCGCGUUCUUGAACAGGUGUCCACAUCAGAGGAUGACUAGGACACUUGGUGCAUCAGCUCGGUCGUACGCAUCGGCUUGGCUGCGUCAGCUCAGAUGAGCUUAGCAGGCCUUGUCUUGCCUGGCAGUGGCAGGAGGUAUCGCAGGAUGUUCAGCGCCCUGAUUUGGAGCUAGUCGCUCGCGCCACGAUGGCGACCUGGCAGCUGCUGGAGUGAGCCAAAUGGAAGAUCCCUGGGGACCUGAGCGUUUGGAUGCUUGGAGCAUCAGCUCUGUUCGGAUGUGUGUGAGAGCUUCUGCAAAUGGCAUGGCCUGGCCCCGCUCUCUUUUUGUUCUUAUCCUGCUUAUGCAGAUUAGGGCAUAGCGUGUAGGACCUAAGUAGGGGUACUGUGUAUUUCUAAGCUUUUUAGAGUGUAUUUGUUUCUGACCGAAGAUAUAUACUAUUACUUCAUUGAUUAUGUUUGUAUGUGUGCGAAGAAAAUCUCACUUCCAAAUUA